UUCACAAGUCACAUGAAACAAAAUUGCCAUUCAUCUCAAACAAUCAACAUCUUUACAUGCAAAUGUCAUCAAAAGGACUUUUCAAGGCUUGUAAUGAGGUUGGGCUAACAAGAAAAAUUGGUUUUUCUAGAAUGCAAAAUCCUUGAGUCAAGAGAACUAUCAAAAUAUUCAACAAUUAAGCACAACUUUCUCACCAAAAUUUCUCAUUCCCAACUUCUUCCCUUUUCUUUUCUUUUUCAUUGAGCUCAUCUUCAUGCUUUUCUUCUUUUCUUUUCUUUUUCUCAUGAUUUUUUCUCUUUUCACAACAAUUGAGCUCAAUGCCUUUUUCUUGCUUUUUCAAUUUUCCCCCGU
rnacentral:lncRNA from 1 species